rnacentral:rRNA from 1 species
UACGUAGGGCGCAAGCGUUAUCCGGAAUUAUUGGGCGUAAAGAGCUCGUAGGCGGUUUGUCGCGUCUGCCGUGAAAGUCCGGGGCUCAACUCCGGAUCUGCGGUGGGUACGGGCAGACUAGAGUGAUGUAGGGGGAGAUUGGAAUUCCUGGUGUAGCGGUGGAAUGCGCAGAUAUCAGGAGGAACACCGAUGGCGAAGGCAGAUCUCUGGGCCGUAACUGACGCUGAGGAGCGAAAGCGUGGGGAGCGAACAGG